AUUGAACGCUGGCGGCAGGCCUAACACAUGCAAGUCGAACGAGUGGCGGACGGGUGAGUAAUGUCUGGGAAACUGCCCGAUGGCGGGGGAUAACUACUGGAAAGGGUGGCUAAUACCGCAUACCAUCGGAUGUGCCUAGAUGGGAUUAGCUAGUAGGUGGGGUAACGGCUCACCUAGGCGACGAUCCCUAGCUGGUCUGAGAGGAGGACCAGCCAAACUGGAACUGAGACACGGCCCAGACUCCUACGGGAGGCAGCAGUGGGGAAUAUUGGACAAUGGGCGCAAGCCUGAUGCAGCCAUGCCGCGUGUAUGAAGAAGGCCUUCGGGUUGUAAAGUACUUUCAGCGGGGAGGCGUUACCCGCAGAAUAAGCACCGGCUAACUCCGUGCCAGCAGCCGCGGUAAUAC
rnacentral:rRNA from 1 species